UACGGAGGAUGCGAGCGUUAUCCGGAUUUAUUGGGUUUAAAGGGUGCGUAGGCGGACUGUCAAGUCAGCGGUAAAAUUGAGGGGCUCAACCUCUUCCCGCCGUUGAAACUGGUGGUCUUGAGUGGAUGAGAAGUACGCGGAAUGCGUGGUGUAGCGGUGAAAUGCAUAGAUAUCACGCAGAACUCCGAUUGCGAAGGCAGCGUACCGGCAUCCAACUGACGCCGAGGCACGAAAGCGUGGGGAUCAAACAGG
rnacentral:rRNA from 1 species